rnacentral:rRNA from 1 species
UACAGAGGUCCCAAGCGUUGUUCGGAUUCACUGGGCGUAAAGGGUGCGUAGGCGGUCGGGUAAGUCUGACGUGAAAUCUUCAAGCUCAACUUGGAAACUGCGUCGGAUACUAUUCGGCUAGAGGAAUGGAGGGGAGACUGGAAUACUUGGUGUAGCAGUGAAAUGCGUAGAUAUCAAGUGGAACACCAGUGGCGAAGGCGAGUCUCUGGACAUUUCCUGACGCUGAGGCACGAAAGCGUGGGGAGCGAACAGG